GAAUCUCGGCAAUGGAUAUCUCGGCUCUUUUCACAAUGAAGAACGUAGCGAAAUGCAAUACUUAGUGUGAAUUGCAGAAUCCCGUGAAUCAUCGAGUUUUUGAACGAAAUUUGCGCUCGAGGCCUCGGUCGAGGGAACGUUUGUCUGGGCGUCG
rnacentral:rRNA from 1 species